CCAAUAGCGUAUAUUAAAGUUGUUGCAGUUAAAAAGCUCGUAGUUGAAUUUCGGGGUUAGUAGGUUGGUCAUGCCAUCGGUAUGUACUGGUCUCACUGAUUCCUCCUUCCUGAUGAACCGUAAUGCCAUUAAUUUGGUGUUGCGGGGAGACUGGACCGUUACUUUGAAAAAAUUAGAGUGUUUAAAGCAGGCUAACGCUUGAAUACAUUAGCAUGGAAUAAUGAAAUAGGACGUUCGAUCCUAUUUUGUUGGUUUCUAGGAUUGACGUAAUGAUUAAUAGGGAUAGUUGGGGGCAUUAGUAUUCAAUUGUCAGAGGUGAAAUUCUUGGAUUUAUUGAAGACUAACUACUGCGAAAGCAUUUGCCAAGGAUGUUUUCAUUAAUCAAGAACGAAAGUUAGGGGAUCGAAGACGAUCAGAUACCGUCGUAGUCUUAACCAUAAACUAUGCCGACUAGGGAUCGGAUGAUGUUAAUUUUUUAAUGACUCAUUCGGCGCCUUACG
rnacentral:rRNA from 1 species